rnacentral:rRNA from 1 species
CCUACGGGUGGCUGCAGUGGGGAAUAUUGGGCAAUGGGCGCAAGCCUGACCCAGCAACGCCGCGUGAGGGAAGAAGGCUUUCGGGUUGGAAACUUCUUUUCUGAGGGACGAAGAAAGUGACGGUACCUCAGGAAUAAGCCACGGCUAACUACGUGCCAGCAGCCGCGGUAAUACGUAGGUGGCAGGCGUUAUCCGGAUUUGAUGGGUGUAAAGGGCUUGUAGGCGGGAAAGCAAGUCCGGUGUGAAAAUUCAGGGCUCAACCCUGAGCCUGGCUUUGAAACUGUUGUUCUUGAGUGCUGGAGAGGCAAUCGGAAUGCCGUGUGUAGCGGUGAAAUGCGUAGAUAUACGGAGGAACACCAGUGGCGAAGGCAGAAUGCUGGACAGUAACUGACGCUGAGGCGCGAAAGCGUGGGGAGCAAACAGGAUUAGAUACCCCAGUAGUC